AAAUCAAUCAAAGUACUUAAUAAAUUCACAUGGAAUUAAAAUUGCUAAUACAAGAAACCAAAGUUAUCUAUGAGAAAGGAAAUAAAUUAAACUUAAUUAUAUUUACAUUGACUAAUUUCAAAUCCAUGAAACAUCUCCGCCUUCAAAUUUUCAGUCCAUCUUCAGUUCAACCACAUACUCAUUGCCGAGUCAUCCCACAUACAUAGACUUAGCCAUUGUUGAGCGUUACUAAGAGCUAAAGAAAAAAAAAAAAAAGAGUUCAAUGGUAAAGCAUAUUGUCAUCUUAAGGGGAGAAUAUAUAUUUGAAUUUUGAAGGCGAUAUUAUUGGAAAAAACCAGUCACGAAUUCUAAAUAUAGAUUAUAAAACCGACAUGGAAGAUAUAAAAUAAGAGUUGAGUUUUUCAUUUUGAUAAAGGGAAAGGGGUUGGUGUCGGUUUGACACUAUCUGUAAUUCAGUUAACAAAGAGUUCAGUUAUUGAUGGAGUGACCCGCUCCCGGACUGUGACCCGGUGCUGUGGGACGAAAAUCAUCAACAUAUUCCACCUUGCUGCUUUGCUCUUGGCCCGAACCACUGCUAUGAACAUUCCCAUUGAUCUUUGGCAUCUUGAAAGAGUUCUGAUCUCGUUGCCGCCGUGAGCGAUGGUUCUUGCUUGCCUCACCCCUCAAAUGCCUUGCUCCUACACUAUACACUAAUAUUUCUUGACAUAAUAUCAAAACAAGGAGGAUAACACAUACAUUUUUUAGCCUAAAACUUGUCAUUUUUACGCAGAGGAAAAUAGGAACUAACAAGGAGACCCUAGCCUUAGAUGCGUAAGUGUUUAUGGGUUUUGGUGAUUAAGAAAUGUGGUAUUUAAAGCCUUGAACUGGCCAACUUGUA
rnacentral:lncRNA from 1 species